UACGUAGGGCGCAAGCGUUAUCCGGAAUUAUUGGGCGUAAAGAGCUCGUAGGCGGUUUUGUCGCGUCUGCCCGUGAAAGUCCGGGGCUCAACUCCGGAUCUGCGGUGGGUACGGGGCAGACUAGAGUGAUGUAGGGGAGAACUGGAAUUCCUGGUGUAGCGGUGAAAAUGUGCAGAUAAUCAGGAGGAACACCGAGUGGCGAAGGCAGGUCUCUGGGCAUUAAACUGACGUGGAGGAGCGAAAGCAUGGGGAGCGAACAGGA
rnacentral:rRNA from 1 species